AAAGACAUACUUUUAAAUACUGGACUAAUUAGAAAACCAAAAACAUUAAGAGUAAAAGUGGGCUAACAAUAUUAUUUUAUCUUGAGCAGUCAAAAGCAUUUAUAUCUCAAAGUACAAACAUCCAUGAAGGAAAAGAAGCCCCAAUAGGGCAGGGAAGGUGUCUGUCUUCUUCACUGUUUUUAUAGUAAGUGCUAGUAAACAGUGAACGGUCAGUGAAUGUUCAAUGAAGAGAUAAACUAAUGUCUUUGUUAAUAUAGCAAUAACAUCAACUGGAAAGUAUCUAUCCAGGUGCCCAAGCCAACAGACAACACACUGCUGUUUCUCCCAUUAGAAUAUAUACCAGAAAUAAAACUAAUAUAUUAAUACUCUGAGAUCUGAAAAGAAUUUUGCCUAAGGUCACAAUUAUCUCAAGUUGUUCUUUACCUCAAUGCUAGUGAAGUAACCAGGUGAAGUAACUCAUGUCAUUUUAUAGGCAAGAAAAUUAAAGCUCAAGGAGGAAAGAAACAUGGCCAUCAAUAUAGUCAAUCAGGAAAAAGACUGGUUAUGUAUUACUCCAGAGGAUGAAACUAGGACCAAAGGUGUAAGUAACCAAGAGGCACACUUCAGCUUAAAAAUGGGGAACUACUCAAUGGAGCCGUUACAAUACCAGAAAAGGCAGUGAGUUAUCCAUCACUAAAAGUAUUCCAGCAAAGACAGGAGAAACAUCUGUCUAAAAUUCUGCAUACGGCAUUUCUGCACCAAUGGUAAGGCUGGACUACCUGACAUCUAAGGACCUCUCAACUCUAGCAUUAGACUAACUCUGACAGUAAGAAACAACUCCUUACCUCUUUCAUCAUUAAAUAAAAAGCAAAUCCAUCAAUCAUAUGGGAAAAUGAUCUUUUGUUCAGAUGAAAAAAAUUUUUUAAGAUGAAAAGGACUUAGGAAAGGGAUCAGAAAUCAUUCAUUCAUUCCGAAGAACAGACAUGAUAAUAUAAACAUUCACAUAAUUAGAAACCAAUUCAAGAAGUAUUCUAGACCACAAAAGGCUUAAAAGAGAAUGGAAGGGCAGACCACACGGCCUUUGUCAUCACAUCUGUUAACAUUCAACUGCUGUUUCCAUUUACACUUAAAACACCCAAAAUAAUGUAGGUUCCAUGUUAUUUCCCAAGAUAAUUAAAACUUAAUAAAAUAUCUUUUCCUUGGUUCAAACUAAACAAAGACUGGCCACAAAGGCAGAAACCCAAAAUUACACACAAUGUGAUUUUUUUAUAUGUACAAUAAAUUUUCCUAAGGAUACUCUGAUGGAAACUAAUUAAUCAGAUGAAAAAAAACCCACUGAAAUUAAACAUUUACAUAAAUGAAGAUGAAAGGGACCUGUGGAUCAUUCAGUCCAAACCCUUGGCUCUGCAGUGUCCCUAAGAGGUCUGACAUUGCUUUUUGAAUGCAUGCAUUAUCUGUCCCCAGACAGCAAGCUGACUCAGGAGUCCACUCCACUCACUUUCAUUUCUUUGCCUUGACUUUGGAAUCCAGAGAGCCAUCCCCAUUCAAAAAUCAAACCUAUCUUAAUAAUGGUGACUGGUCACAUCUAUUCUUUAAAUAGCCAGUGAAAACAAUCUAUAACCCCAGUCCUAGCAGUACCUUAAGAUUUUUUUAAAGGACAUUUAUACAGUUGAUGUUUAACUUAAAUCCUCCUCUUUGUACCACUUGAACCUGCUAUUUUGGGUCACUUGUCCCAACUCCCAAGCCACCACUGUGAACAAGUGGCAAUUACAAUUAUUCUCCCUUUAUUGCAAUGUGUUCUUCAUUUACAAAAAGUUAUGUUCUAGAAAUUCACUGUAAAGUAAAUCCCACCUUUCCAACUAUGUCCAUUAUACAAGGAGGGUAACCUACCAAGUUUUAAAAAAUAAUAUAUACUUGGCUACCCCUCCACAGCAAAAAAGGGGAUGAUUUUAAAUGGCUUACAAUGAAAAUACACAAACAAUAAAAAUCCAGGUAGAUAAAAACUUUUUCUUCUAUUGUUCAAAUAUUGACAAUGUUUAAUGUGACUACUUAUAAUCAUACCUAACUACUAAUACAUAUGUAUUGGAAAUACAAUAAAUAUAUAUCUUUCCAUAUAAGUCCUACAAAACAUCAACUUUUAUAAAAUGAGUUUAAUUACAUUAUUUCCUCUACUAUCUCAUACUAUAACUGUGCAUAAACCAGUUUGGUUUUUUACCUCUUGUCCAUGCCAAACUGGGUAUCUGAUAGUGCAAUUAUUCAAAAUAACGUUUUAAAAAUAUAAUGAACAAUAUAAAUAUCAACUAACAAUUACCCAACAGUCUUAUUUGACUGAAGAAAACUUUCUUUUUCUGUUAAAGAUUAGCCUCACAAACAACAAGAAGUUCAAUUAUUUGGAAAUUCUCUCUUCAGGAUGAUUUGCUCAAUCACCUUAACACACUCUGCUUGUUAUGAUGUGACACACAAUUAGAAGAAUAAAAAAGAAGAAAAGCAACAUAAAACCGCAGUUUCCAGUUAAGGCUCAAAUAAUUUCUAAAUAUAGACAUGCUAAAAGGUUGAAAAACAUAGAAAUACAAUUCUAUGUCAAGUAGUUGGCUAAGCUAAAUGACAUAAUUUGAAGCAUUUAAACUAGAAAAGAACAGCAGGGUAACUAAGUUUCAGAGAGGGCAAAUGACUCUCCCACUGAGACAAUGUGAUUAUUCAAGGGGCCAUUUAUUCCAUGUAUUUAUUUUCCAUACUUUUUCUCUUCUUACUUUACUUCUGUCUUUGAAUAAUUUUACUUUUUCAUCCCAAGGGCCAAAGCAAAGAAUAAAAACAGGCCACUAAACAGAGUGCUAUGACUUUAACCAAACUAUUUUAAAAUGUGUUCACAAUCUUUAAAAUGGGAGUACUAAUAGUCAUCUACUUUCCUGUAAAGCUGCUGUGGGCAUUAAAUGAAUUAAAACAGAAUCCAUGCUAAGUAUUCAGCACAGAGAAAACAUUCAAAGGUGGCUGCUGCUGCCCUGCCCUGCUUCAUCUGUGGCAGGCACUGUUCCUGGCAUAGCAGACAGAGAUGAAUGAGAGAUGCCCUUGCCCUUACAAGCCUCCUAAGCCACUAAGGAUGCUCCAGUGGAAAUUAGCAAAACAGAUAUAGGAAACAGACAGUAGGUAAGUUCAAGGAGGCACAAAGCCAAUACGGUUUGAGAUGAGAGGGAGAAGAAACAGGGAAAGCUUCUUAUUCUUAGUAAUUGAGGUUUCUUAAAAAAAAGGUGAUGAUUCAGGAGCUUGGGUCCCCAGAAUUAGACAUCUGGUAUUAUAGGACUAAGGAUGGCAUCAACAAAAAUUAUCCACCAUAUUCCUCCACAAAUGGGGGUGGGAAGUGGUAUCUGUCUUAAUAUAACAUUCAUUUUAAGCCGGGAACAGUGAUGCAUGCCUACAGUCCCAGCUAGUAGGGAGACUGAGGUGGGAGGACCACUUAAUUUGAGGCCACAGUGUGCUAAACCACAUCUGUGAAUAGCCACUGUGCUCUAGCCUGGGCAACAUAGCCAGACCCCAUCUCUUAAGAAAAAAGAAAAACCGUUCAUUUUAGAGAAUAUUUUAGGUUAUCUUUUUCCGUAAGAAAAAAAAAAAAAACAUGUUAACAAAACUACAAACUCCUAAGGUAUAGACCACAGCCUCAGCUUGAGAUCCUAAGACUGCAAGGGAUCACUGAAACCGUAAAUGGGGGAUGGGGGUGUAAGGGAGCAAAAUGUACAGGGGACCUUACGCUAUAAUCAUUUCCAAAAAAUGUUAAUGGAAUUGUCUAUUCACAUUAAAGAUCCACGGGUUACCAAACAUCAACCAUCUGAAUCAAAUUUCAUAUAGAUACGACUAUCUGAAGUGUAUGUUUUUAUUUCAGACCCAGCUAUACGUGCUUGGUUAAUAAAAAUGAAAAAAAGGAAAUAUUUAAUAAAUGUAAUCGGCUUGGUUAAAAAACAAAACCCCAACUCGUGGAACUAUAGGAAGGAGUGAAGAGAUAAUGAAGUUUUUGAUAAUACAAAGGGUGGGAGUUACAAGUUUCCCCUUACUGGCUGCCUUCAAGCUAGCUGGAAAUGAGGUCACAGAAAGGAGCACUGAAGUCUCAUCUGGCUAACACUCAGCAGGUCUAUAUAUAAUAAUAUAACUGAAUUAUGCUAUUUCUAGGGUUGGGGUAGAGUUUAAGAUCAAAAUGAAAACAAAACAGAGUAAAAGAACAUGCUAAUCAUUCAUCUGAGGAAAAGCAAAUGCCAACAGCGUGGGGAGGGGACUUCAGGACUACUGAGAGGUUUCCUAAAAAGUCAUUUCUAAAGUGAAUUAUCUAUACAACAAAAGAGGAGGAUUAGAAAAUAAUAAAAAUGGGAAGACCAGAAGAAGAGUUUUAGGUAGAAACCUCUAUUUUUUCCUUUUAAUAGCUUUCUUUUAUCAGUAUAGCCAUAAAUCAUGAAAGAAGCAAUAGAAGUAGAAUGUUCUGAAACCACAGCAGAUAAAAUGGGGCACCUUUUACAAGACCACUUAACAGCUGCCAGGAUUUAUGCAAUCACUUUUCAGUUCCAAGUACGGUCACAAGCCACUGACAUAAGACCUAACACUAAUGUAGAAGGCAAUGCUUUCUUAGAAUAGCAAGUAUUGUUUCAGAAGUGUGUAGGUCCCAGGAGUUCUAUAAUAAAACCUAGGACCUUUGUUUUCUGUACAACACUCAGACACCUAAUUGCCCACGUUUAUCCAUCUGAGUUCCUAUUUACACAGAAGAACUACAUGUCUGCAUUCAAAAUUAUGUAGAGCUUUGGUUACUAAUGAUUAUUUCUUGUUCCAAAAAGAUCAGUGGUUAGUUUUAAGGAACAUGACUAGAAAGCAUUCCAAAAGUAGAGAACGGUCAGGUCAUUUGAACAGCAUAAGAAAGAAACAGAAGAGGAAUGAAGAACUUGCACAAGUUUUUUAGAUCUGUUUUCUGAUAUGUCUAGUAUUCCUAGUUUUAUCAAUACUUUAGUUAGAAGCAAGGUUUUAUUAUUUAACAGGGAAAUGGUUUUUUUUUUCCCCCCCCUAAAAAGAAUGAAUGCCAUCAUCUGAUACCUACUUUAAAACACUCCUUUCCCUGACCUUAAUUCAUCUAAAUGUCCCUUGGGGACUUCAAAAAUCAAUGCUGCUAAAACUAAGCUUAUCAUUUUUUCCCCCAAGUUUAUUUCUCCCCAUCUACCCUGGUCGGUACAAUGUAAACUUAGGAGACAUUCCAGACUCCCUACUCUGAGGGUCCUCUGACUUCCAGAUCAAGGAGGCACUGCCAAUUCUAUCACGUGCUUAAAAUCCUCCAAUGAUCUUCAUCUUCCCCAGGGUAUUCCCACACUGUCCUCCAACUUAGAAACCUGGGCUACCUAACAAUUUCAGCAUCAUCACAAUGGGCUGUGAUAACAGAUAUUCUAUUUCCCUCCAUUACUUGGAGCUCCGUGAGUGCAGAAUAGGGCCUUCUGUUGAGCAGGCACUAGUCUACACUCAGCUAGGGCCUGCUCAACAGAAGUUUGCUGAAUGAAAACCUGAAAUUAAAGAGUUCUGCAAAUAUUCUGGGGCCCCGUCAAAAGGCCGCUGAUGCAGAGUUUUAGGGUACAGAGGAAGGUGGUGGUUAUUCCCAAUCCUACACACACACACACACGCACAGACACACAAAGGAAAAAAAAAGGUAAGAGGAAAAGGAGACUAAGAAGUGCUCAGAGCAGACUGUGGUGGGAUAAAUCAGUGAAGAUAAGCUGCAGUUUAUUUCAGUCACCUGUUUAAGGCCCUGUGAAAACUUGUUUUUUCAAGUAAAACAGAAAAAGUUCAAGAAGUCAAAGUGUUAUCAAUCACAUAUUGUGGGAAUGCACACAUUCACACAAAUCCAAACCAGACAAGGAGCAGACACCCUACCAACUCAGCAUUCCUUCAUAAAAUCAUUUUACAAACCUGCUACUGGUACCACUCAGGAACAAUACUUUACAAAUGAAAAUGGAAAGAUAAGACGGUGAAAACAUCAUACUUGGGCGAUUUCUUUCAGUGUGCCCUAAUGAAAAUAGCAUGCUUGGCCUAAAGCUUCAGAGAGACCUGGUUCAAAUCCUCUGAUGGCUGCUUAGCUGAGUUUCAAUAUGGAUACUCAUCCAAGGGGAGACCCAUUGGAGAACUGCUUCACCAGGGAUACAGAGUGACUUUUUAAAUUUACUUUCAAGCAGUGAUUUCACAUUUCAAAUUUCCCACAAGAUUAUGACAAAUGCAAUGCAAUUUUAGGCGUAUAUGCCUAACUUUAAACUAGAAAGAAGAAACAUUUUAAUUUAGUACCACAUCUAAAAAUGUCCAAUUCUGUCUAGUCAGUCAAAUGCAACUAGAUUAGAGACCUAUAUGAAUUCGCAUUUUAUACAUUUGGAGUGUCCACCAACUAAAUGUUUUAGUUUGAUAGCUAGUGGAGUAUUCUGAUGUUUUCUUAAGUUGAUGUUAAAAACAGUCUUUUGUGUGAGGCCGAGGUGUGCUAACAUAAGACGAAUAUACAAGCUAUUAAAACACCAGUUGAUAAAAAUCACCUGCUGCAAAUGGCGGCUAAGAAAAUGGGUUCUCUUUCAAAAAGCAAAAAAAGUUUAAUGAAACAAAGCUUUCUGGGCACUGGGGAUAAAAGUCAAGCAAGGUAUGUCCUUUAACAGAAGAUACAUUAUGCAGGUUUCUCUAGAAUGUUUAAGCUUGCCAGGAAACUAACUUCCUCAUUUGAGAAUAAAGAGAAAUGAACUUUAAAUAGCAAAUUUAAUAUAACAAAUUUCAAAAUUCAAAAUAUUAGCUCUUGAAAUGUUUGUUUUGGCUAGUUCUCCAGGCUUAAUACCUAAAUGAGACGUGUGGUUUUAAAAUGUAUGCAACUUACUUUCCUGUAUUUAAAAAAAUCAGUAUAUCUUUCUAGGAAUUACAAUAAAUACACAACCUGGUUGGUUCCAUGUAGGAUUAUAACUUUCAGAUUUUCCUUCAUAUUAAAAUUUUAGAAAAGUUCUCUCAAAUAUAACCACACAUUUCUUGUUUUUCAAAUUAACACUACUUUUUUCAGAUUAUGAAAGUAGUGCAUAUUUAACGCCAGUAAGAUUUAUUAGCAGCCUGUGGGAGGGCCCCCUACUCACCAACACCAUAGAUAAUCCUUACUAUUAGCCUAUUAGGUAAAAUUAUAAAGAUCUGUUUUAAUGUAUACUGACCUGAUUAUUUUUUCCCUAAUUUAUUUAAGGUAUAAUUUAUAUACAACAAAAUUCACCAUUUUUAGGGUGCAUUUCUCCAAGUUCUCACAAAUGCAGUCACGUAACAAAUACCACAAUCAAGAUACAGAGCAGCUGUAUUACCCCAAAAUUUCCUUUGUACCUCUUUGUAGUCAACCUUUCCCCAAGCCCAGUCUCUGACAACCACAGCUAUUGUGUGUCCUUGCAAGUUUUGCCUAGAAAUGGAGUCACAGAGUAUGUAGUCUCUGCCGUCUGGUUUUUCCCAAUAAUGCAUUUGAGAUUCACUCAUGUUGUUGUACACAUCAAUAGGUCACCAUUUUUCAUGGCUGAGUAGUAUUCCAUUGUGUAAAUGUUCCACAAUUUAUUUCAGUUUGGGACAGUAAUGAAUAAAGCCACAAAAAAAGUAUGUACAGGCUUUUGUAUAAACAUAAAUUCUCAUUUAUCUUGGGUAAAUACCUAGGAGUGAGUUUGCUGGGCCACUGCUGGGUAAGUGUAUGUUCAUCUUUCUAAGAAACUGCCAAAUGAUUUUUCUAACUGGUUAUACAAUUUUACAUUCCCACCAGAAAUGUACGAGCGUUUCAAAUGCUCCAUUCACACCCUUGCCAGCUCUUGGUAUUGUCAGUCUAAAAAAUUUUAGCUAUUCUAACAGGUGUGGUUUUAACUUGCAUUUCCCUAAUGACUAAUGGUGUGGAACAUCUGCAUGUGCUUAUCUGCCAUAUUAUGUCUUUUUUGGUUAAUUAUUCAUAAUUUUUCUUUUUUGGAUCAUGCUCUUGGUACUGUACAGAAUAUCUUUGCCUAAGCUAAGGUUGCAAAGAUCCCCUAUGUUUUCUUCUAGAAGUUUUAUAGUUUUCCAUUUUACAUUUACAUCUAUGACACAGAUUGAGUUUUUACAAAUGGCGUGAGGUACUGAUCAAGGUUCAUUUCAUUUCAUAUGGAUAUCAAACUGUUGCCACAGCAUUGCUGGAAAAAAGGCUCUUUCUCCAUUGAAUUGCUUUAGCACCUUUGUUGAAAAUCAACUGGCCACGUAUGUGUAGGUUUAUUUAUGGACUUUCUAUUCUAUUUCACAGAUCUACCAGUCUACCCUUUGCCAAUACAGUCUUUAUCAUUGUAGCUUUUCUACUAAGUCCUGAAUAAUUAUUUGCAGGGUUAAACUUUUUCUUCUUUUACUGGCUAGUUAUAUCACUUCUUUAAUAAAUUCUCUUUUCAUUUGUCUAUAGGGGAGUUUGUCAUUGAUUUGUAAGAACUCUUUCUACAUAAAGAAUACUAUUUCCUAUAUUACAAAUAUUUCCCCAACUUGUUUGCAUUAUAAUUUUGUUUCAAAUAGUAUGUGUACUACAUCCAUCAACUGCAAUCAAAGCUAUUACCCUAUUCCUUAUGCCUCUUGCUUAGAAAGGCCAAGAUAGUAUGAAUAUUCGCUUUUUUCCUUAAUUACUCAUAUACAAAUCCUUAAUUCACCUGGAAUUUACUUUGAUAUAGACAUACACAGAAAUCAAUCAUUUCUUCUCCAAAUGUUGAAUUUUUCCAGUCAAUUUAUUAGUUCUUCCUUUUAUGUUGUCUAAUAAUGGAGGAAUUUAAAAUGAUUAGACCCUGUUCUUUUUUCUGCAUCAUUCAGAAUGACCAGCUGAAGAACCAUGCUAGGAUACAGUGGUGCCCAUGGGGGCAUCAGUCUGUAUGCCAAAAAGCCACAAAGCAGACACUGAUAUGUAUAUUCAAAAAAUGUGUGGCAGCACUAUUUGCCAGGCACUGUGCUAGGUGCUGAGAUAUAAUCAUAAUGAAACCUAAAAGGUUGGCAAUGAAGGGACCUAGGUGAGACAGCACCACUGCACUUUGUGUCCCGGGACUUGCCAAAAUUCACCUCUGUUCAUUCACUCACACAGAAAGUAACAACCACCUGGCUUUAAAAGAUGCCUCCAUCUUAUCUUCCAUCAAAGAUUCUCCUUUUAGAGCUGCUUCCAUGGUAAGUAGGUGCCUCGCCUUACCUCCAGAGGUGCCCAAAAGCACUGUUAAACACUUGGGCUUCAGGUGGCAAGGAGAGGCGCACACCAUGUUUUUUAAGUUUUCGACGAUGAUUUCAUGAUUCUUUCUCAUCUUGCUGCUAUCAGUCAGGGCACCUGACUUUAGGAAGUCCCUGUUACCUAUCAGCUGACAGCUGGAAAUACAAAUUUACUGAACUUGCUAGAAUUAUACGUAAAAUUAACUAAAUAAGGAUCUGAGUGAGACCCUGAAUGAUAGCUACCAGCAAAAUAUAUGAGCUUUGUACAUGGACUUAGGACAGUCCAUUUCAUCUACCAGGAGUCUUUAUUUGCUUGCUUCCUAGUGCUCUGCUGGGUUUAGGACAACUCAAAAACUGAUAAGUGAUCAAUAGGCAGUCCUCUAAUUGGUAAGAUUCACGGAUAGCCAAGGAUUUUGAAGACUGUUUAUCUUACAUAAAGUAACAUAAAAACAAUUUUGGAAAGCCUCCUUACCAUAUGAAAAGCUGCCCCCUUUAUUCUCCUGACAACAGCUGGAGGAGUCAAAGGUUACAAAGUCAGGGAACACUCAAGUUCUCUCUAUUCUUGCCUCUACUAAUUAAUAAAUUCAUUUUGAUACUGAAGCUAGACGGUAAAUCCAAGAAAUUCUUAUCAAGUUGUUUACUGAUAUUGAUAAUACAGCCUUGCAUGGGAUAGAGGGCAAGGUACCUCACAAACUGAUAACUGAGUACAAAACUAGAACUAAUCUAAAACCAAGGGAAUCUUCUGUCUCCAGGUGGAACAUAAUGGGUUUCAGCCAAGUGAAGGUUCUGCCAUAACUAUAAAAAAAAAAAAAA